rnacentral:piRNA from 1 species
GGAACAUUCCCUCUUGGGCUUAUGUGCAUC